UUGCCUCAGUAACGGCGAGUGAAGCGGCAAAAGCUCAAAUUUUAAAUCUGGCGUCUUUGGGCGUCCGAGUUGUAAUUUGGAGAGGCAUCUUCGGUUUGGGCUCCAGUCUAACGCCCUUGGAACAGGGGGUCACAGAGGGUGAGAAUCCCGUGUCCGGCUGGCAGCUUCUUUCCAUGUGAAGUGUCUUCUACGAGUCGAGUUGUUUG
rnacentral:rRNA from 1 species